AAAGAUUAAGCCAUGCAUGUCUAAGUAUAAGCAAUCUAUACCGUGAAACUGCGAAUGGCUCAUUAAAUCAGUUAUCGUUUAUUUGAUAGUACCUUACUACUUGGAUAACCGUGGUAAUUCUAGAGCUAAUACAUGCUAAAAACCCCAACUUCGGGAGGGGUGUAUUUAUUAGAUAAAAAACCAAUGCCCUUCGGGGCUCCUUGGUGAUUCAUGAUAACUUAUCAGAUCGCAUGGCUUUACGCCGGCGACGGUUCAUUCAAAUUUCUGCCCUAUCAACUUUCGAUGGUAAGGUAUUGGCUUACCAUGGUUU
rnacentral:rRNA from 1 species